rnacentral:rRNA from 1 species
GAUGAACGCUGGCGGCGUGCCUAAUACAUGCAAGUCGAGCGAACGGACGAGAAGCUUGCUUCUCUGAUGUUAGCGGCGGACGGGUGAGUAACACGUGGAUAACCUACCUAUAAGACUGGGAUAACUUCGGAAAACCGGAGCUAAUACCGGAUAAUAUUUUGAACCGCAUGGUUCAAAAGUGAAAGACGGUCUUGCUGUCACUUAUAGAUGGAUCCGCGCUGCAUUAGCUAGUUGGUAAGGUAACGGCUUACCAAGGCAACGAGGCAUAGCCGACCUGAGAGGGUGAUCGGCCACACUGGAACUGAGACACGGUCCAGACUCCUACGGGAGGCAGCAGUAGGGAAUCUUCCGCAAUGGGCGAAAGCCUGACGGAGCAACGCCGCGUGAGUGAUGAAGGUCUUCGGAUCGUAAAACUCUGUUAUUAGGGAAGAACAUAUGUGUAAGUAACUGUGCACAUCUUGACGGUACCUAAUCAGAAAGCCACGGCUAACUACGUG